UGGUUGGCGGUCCCUGUGAGAUACAAAGAUGAAAGACUCCAGCAUGGCCUGGGUUCUCUCUUUUCUUGUGCUUCUCAGCUCCUUCUCAGGGUUGCGAUCACAGCCCACAGUGACUCAGCCAGCCUCUGCAUCAGCAUCCUUGGGACAAGAAGCUAAAUUGUCAUGCACUGUCAACGCUAACGUGAACCACGUUUACUGGUUUCAGCAGAAAUCAUUAGGAACCCCUCACUUUCUACACUGUAAUGGUUGUAGCAGCAGGGGAUCAGGGAUCCCAGACCGAUUCACUGCAUCACGAUCUGGGAACACCGGCUAUUUGACCAUCACCAACCUGAACGUGGAAGAUGAGGCUGACUAUUAUUGCAAUGCUUGGUUUGGCAGUGCUAGUGUGUUGCACGAUGAUACAAUCUGA